AGGUGCAGUUUUUGCACAGGGGCUUGGAGGGGGUUCGCAAUGAUGCAGAGGGCUCUGUAUGGCUACAGAGUUGUGGAUACGGAGUAGCAUAAAUUGGGCUUUAGCAUCUUCCUAUGACCUCAUAGCUAUCUGCUGGUGUUGCUUUCCAAUGAGUCAUUACAUGUUGAUUGUUGAUGGGUCUUACAGAAUGCUGGCGUUAGCCUCAUAGCCGGCAAUGAACUGUAUAAUUGGUGACUUU